rnacentral:rRNA from 1 species
ACGCUCGACACCUACGGGAGACAGCAGUGGGGAAUAUUGCACAAUGGGGGAAACCCUGAUGCAGCGACGCCGCGUGAGCGAAGAAGUAUCUCGGUAUGUAAAGCUCUAUCAGCAGGGAAGAAGAUGACGGUACCUGACUAAGAAGCACCGGCUAAAUACGUGCCAGCACGCCGACGGUUAAUCUGGAGGCGGGCGUGGACGAAGGC